rnacentral:rRNA from 1 species
GUCUAUGGCCAUGCCACCCUGAACAAGCCUGAUCCCAUCUGAUCUCAGAAGCUAAGCAGGGUCAGGCCUGGUUAGUCCUUGGAUGGGAAACCACCCAGGAAGACCAGGUGCUGUAGGUG